UCACGCGCUUUUCUUUCGCUGGCAGUUUUUGAAUUUAGCGUAGUUUUGUUUACGGGUUCAAUGGGAAUAUAUGGAUUCAAGUAUUGUCAAUGGUUGUCUGCUGACUGGCGAUCUUUUCGGUAAGUCCGGAUAAGCUUCGAUUUUCCAAAUUGAUCUUUAACCAUUCACAAUGUAAGACGAUGCGGUGGAUUUCAAUAAUGCUCUCUAGUUUCGUUGAUAUAUGCGGUGGAAAUAAAUAAGUUGACGCGUCAACGGUGCUUUCGAUAAUUGGCGACCCUUUAUGGAAGAUAGAUUAAAGUAUAAAUGAACUGUUCAAUGUUUCGCCAGUUUUAAAUGUACAUCCCAACGGCGUCCGACAUUACUGACGCACUACGCCAAUGGCCGCAGCUUGAUCCGUUAAUGAGGGCCCGUAUAGAAAUUUUCUAUGCUCUAAUUGCCUGACGAUUCUGAGACAGGAUUCACCUCGGAUUGGAUGCGAAGCUUAAGGAGUAAGCAUGAAGUAAUGUUGAAGUCUACGAUGUUGGGUCCUAUGAAGAAUGAUCGAAGCUGUCGAGCGUUAUUUGUCAAAAGGAUCUACAAGAAUCCACCCUUCUACAUAGUGUUCUUCUGCCUACAUCGUUAAAGGCGAAGGUUCGAGCGGUCCCGCGCCCUGUAUUUUACAAAAACGUUCCCGAUAAGAAAAAGAAUGGCGGUGUAUGCGCUCGAUCUACCGCCAGAAAUUUUUCUCAGAAGUGUUUUGCACCGUACUUUUAUCCCCAUCGGAACCGCAAAUCGUGGUAUGCCGCACAUUGUUAUGCGUGCCACGACAUACUGAGCGCAGCUUUCUUUCAAACCGGCCAGGAACUUUUCAUCGUCAAAUUUCAACUUGUUCUCCGUGCCCCUUCUUUUAAUUCCCGUUCGAAUCAGUGGGGAGCGGUAAAUGACCAACGGAAUGCUCGUCGGCUUCGUUUGACGCCGUUUC